UGGCGCUCCAGGAGCAGCUGCCGUCCCAGUAUGGUGAUGUUCUGCGGAUGGUGGGGCUCCAGAUGUGCUCCAGGUGUUGUGUUCCAGAUGUGGCACUCCAGGAGCAGCUGUGGUCCCGGAGCAGUGAAGAUCCAAGUAUGGAGAUGUUCCGGGUCUGGUGGUGCUCCAGAUGUGUGUUCCAGAUGUGCUCCUGGAGUAGCAGCAGACCAGCCGUUGGGUCAUCCAGGAUCACCUUGAAGACGGUGUCAUCGUCACCACCGCCGUGCGCCGGGAAGUGCCGCGUGGCAUGGUGCCAUGGGACCACAAAGAGCCGGCGCCGCGCGUCCACCCAGCGCAGCCCUGGGAAACGCCCGCUGUCCACCUGGGCCACCAACCAUGGGCGCAGGCGCACGCGGCGCGGCACCGGGGACGCCAUCGAGGACAGGAGGGGACACCGGGAGAGGUGGUGCGGUGAUGAGGAGGUGACGCGGUGUGGCACGCGGUGACGCACGCGGGGAACUGCGUGGUGCAGUCGUGGAGAUGCUGUGGUUAAUGAUGGGUGUUUGUGGUCAUCCAAUAGGUGUUGUCACCUCUGGUCAACCAUCGUUCAUGGUCAUCUGUCACUCGUGGUCACCUCUGGUCAUCUCUGGUCACCCAACACUUGUGGUCACCUGUCAUUUAUGGUCACCCAUGGUCACCUCUGGUCACCCACAGUCAUCUGUCACCCAUGGUCACCCAUGGUCAGUUGUCACUUAAGUCACCCAUAGUCACCUCUGGUCCCCCGCAGUCAUCUGUCACCCAUGAUCAUCACUGGUCACUUCUGGUCACCUUUGGUCACCCAUCACUCACGGUCACCUAUCAACCAUGGUCAGAUGUCACCCACAGCCACCAAUGGUCACGCAUGGUCAUCUGUCACCCAUUGUCACCUACGGUAACCUCUGGUCACCCACAGUCACCUUCCACCCAUGGUCACCUCUGGUCACCUCUGGUCACCGAAAGCCCUUAUCAUUUGUCACUUAUGGUCAUCUCUGGUCAUCUUUAAUCACUCAUCACCCAUGGCCACCUUCCACCCAUGGCCACCAGUGGUUACCCAUGGUCAUCUGUUACCCACUGUCACCUCUGGUCACCUCCAGCCACCCCACACCCAUGGUCACCUAUCACCCAUGGUCACCUGUGUCAUUUAUGGUCACCCACUGUCACCUCUGGUCAUCCUUCACCUAUGCUUUUUAGGGUGACCCACUCGCCCCAGCCACCUUUGCUCACCCCUCACACCCCGCCACCCCAAAAGUGUCACAUGGGUCACACAGUGACAUCGGCCGUCCCUGGGGACACAGGGUGGGGAUUAUGACAAAAAUGGGGACCGAAAGAGGAACUCGUCCCUAUGCCCCAUGGAAAGGAGAAGUGACACCACA
rnacentral:lncRNA from 1 species